AGACCAAUAGCUUAAGAGGGAAAGCGGCUGACUCUUAAUCAGCAAAUUGGGGCUUCGAGUGCCUCUCGGUCUACUA
rnacentral:tRNA from 1 species